UUUUUAUUCUUUUAUUUCUUUUAAUUCCAUUUCUCUUUAAAAAUUCAUAUCUCUCUCAUUAUUGGUCCAAAAAUUAUGGGACUAGUUUCAUUUUUCUCCUUUUAAUUUCUACUUUCUAAAAAUGAUUUUUAAUAUUUUUUAUUUUAUCAUUUGAUAUUUUUUAGUAAUUUUCUCUUUUUUGGUUAUUUUUAAUUCAUUUAAAAUAGUUUUUAAUAUCCAAAAAAUACAAAAAUAUUUUUC
rnacentral:lncRNA from 1 species